AGAAUCUUCUUUAAGAGGUUUCCACGAUGGACAAGAAGCAGAGAAAUCCAUCUCUUCUGACGCUGUACUCCGUCCUGAAGGACUUCAGGGCGGAAUAUACGGAUUUUGAGGCCCUCGC